rnacentral:misc_RNA from 1 species
GAUGAAGAACGUAGCGAAAUGCGAUAAGUAAUGUGAAUUGCAGAAUUCCGUGAAUCAUCGAAUCUUUGAACGCACAUUGCGCCCCCUGGCAUUCCGGGGGGCAUGCCUGUCCGAGCGUCAUUUCUGCCCUCCAGCCCGGCUGGGUGUUGGGCGCUGUCCCCCCGGGGACACGCCCCAAAGGCAGUGGCGGCGCCGCGUCGGGUCCUCGAGCGUAUGGGGCUUUGUCACCCGCUCGGGACGGACUCGUCGGCGCUGGUCUUCCUCCAGGCGACCCUUCGGGGCUCGUCUUCCUUCGGUUGACCUCGGAUCAGGUAUGGUUACCCGCUGAACUUAAGCAUAUCAAUAAGCGGAGGA